GAGCAGUGUUCAUCCAACUCUUCAUCACAGAUUGACAUCAUGCCAGUAAAUGAGGUGUACAAAAUGCAUCUGCUCAAGAAAAUGGAAAAAACCGACAAAGAAAUGGUGUACUUGGACUGGCAAAUUAAGAAAGCACAUCUGGAAUUUGAAAUUCUAAAAUACAAGCUAGAGGAAAUGAAGACGAAAAGAAAAUGAUUUUGUUUGGGGGGGAGGGGGCGGUAUUUUUACUACUGUGGUUUUGGUCUGGUGCAGACUAAUGAGCACAACAAUUAUGACAUAGAUCUGUGGAUUAGGUUUGACUCAGGCUGGCAUUUGCACACAAUGCUGGGACUCCAUUACCCAUGAUCCUCCACUGCCUUCUGACAGCCAACAUUGGUGUUCUUAACGCUGGACUCUAUACUCGUACAAAAAGUGCUUGCACAGUUGGGUUGUUGUUUAAGUUAAUUCCGAACAUGCAUACAGUGUUUGGUUUACAUUUAUUGUAUUUUCCUUUUUGAUACAUAUUUUUUUAAUAAAUGAUUCUUCAAUAAAGUUUGUCUAAAUACUUG